rnacentral:rRNA from 1 species
GACGAACGCUGGCGGCGUGCUUAACACAUGCAAGUCGAACGAUGAAGGAGGAGCUUGCUCCUCCGGAUUAGUGGCGAACGGGUGAGUAAUACGUGAGCAAUGUGCCCUUGACUCUGGGAUAAGCGCUGGAAACGGCGUCUAAUACCGGAUACGACCCUCGGAGGCAUCUCCUGAUGGUGGAAAGAACUUCGGUCAAGGAUCAGCUCACGGCCUAUCAGCUAGUUGGUGAGGUAACGGCUCACCAAGGCGAGGACGGGUAGCCGGCCUGAGAGGGUGACCGGCCACACUGGGACUGAGACACGGCCCAGAAUCCUACGGGAGGCAGCAGAGGGGAAUAUUGCACAAUGGGGGCAAGCCUGAUGCAGCAACGCCGCGUGAGGGACGAAGGCCUUCGGGUUGUAAACCUCUUUUAGCAGGGAAGAAGCGAAAGUGACGGUACCUGCAGAAAAAGCACCGGCUAACUACGUGCCAGCCGCCGCAGUAACAC